rnacentral:rRNA from 1 species
AUGGCCUACCAAGGCUUCGAUCGGUAGCUGGUCUGAGAGGAUGAUCAGCCACACUGGGACUGAGACACGGCCCAGACUCCUACGGGAGGCAGCAGCAAGGAAUCUUGGGCAAUGGGCGAAAGCCUGACCCAGCAACGCCGCGUGAGGGAUGAAGGCUUUCGGGUUGUAAACCUCUUUUCAUAGGGAAGAAUAAUGACGGUACCUGUGGAAUAAGCUUCGGCUAACUACGUGCCAGCAGCCGCGGUAAUACGUAGGAAGCAAGCGUUAUCCGGAUUUAUUGGGCGUAAAGUGAGCGUAGGUGGUCUUUCAAGUUGGAUGUGAAAUUUCCCGGCUUAACCGGGACGAGUCAUUCAAUACUGUUGGACUAGAGUACAGCAGGAGAAAACGGAAUUCCCGGUGUAGUGGUAAAAUGCGUAGAUAUCGGGAGGAACACCAGAGGCGAAGGCGGUUUUCUAGGUUGUCACUGACACUGAGGCUCGAAAGCGUGGGGAGCGAACAGAAUUAGAUACUCUGGUAGUCCACGCCUUAAACUAUGGACACUAGGUAUAGGGAGUAUCGACCCUCUCUGUGCCGAAGCUAACGCUUUAAGUGUCCCGCCUGGGGAGUACGGUCGCAAGGCUAAAACUUAAAGGAAUUGACGG